GCUCAUGUUUAGUUGUCCUGUGACUUUGAGCCCCUGCUAUGCCUGCGCAUAACUGGGGCCACCUGGUUCCCCCGCCACUGACUCUUUUAACCGCAAGCAACAUGG
rfam:Canis lupus familiaris chromosome 27, whole genome shotgun sequence.